ACUGCUACCGUUGAAACAGGCCCACCAAAAACUGAGCCAGCACCAAAAGAGGGUGCAGCUCCACCACCUACAGAUGCUAAAACAACAGCAAAACAACCGGCGGCCGCUCCAACUUCGGAGACAAAGGAACCUGAAAAACAUGUCCCAGGCCCGCCACCAUCUUCGGAUGCUAAAACAACCACAAAACAACCUGUGGACCUUCCAACAUCAAAGACAAAGGAACCCGAAAAACCAGAUAUUGUGAGUGAUGCAAAAGUCCCUCCUCAGCCAGGAAGUGUUCAGCCUGUAGACAAGAAGUCCACUCCAGAACCAUCUCAGCCUCAACCGGAAGUUAAAGUACAAGUUCAACAACCAGUAACAACCAGCAGUCCCCAGGCUCCUGCGGGUCCCACCAGUCCUCCUGCGGCGGCCCCUUUAACGACUCAGCCAGCAUCAAAACCGACACCAGAACCACAAGCUCCAGCAGCUGCAACAGGUAAAUCACCUUUUCUCACUUAAUUGAAGAUAAUACCUUUCCUUGUUUGUUCUUUAUGUCAA